CUCAGUCAGACUGAACAGAAACUGAAGUGACUGCUGCAGCUGGAAGCUACUGCAGAGACUGAUACACUUCACUGAGGACACACACACACACACACACACACACACAGAUCAUUUCUAGUGUUCAUUGUGUGUCCAGCAGUUUUCCUCCUGAUGUUCAAUCAGUCCACCUCAAGCAGCUGAAAGUUUCCUCAGAUGAAGGGAACAGUUUCAGUGAAGAAGCCCAAUCAGACCAUUAAACUCACAACAACAGCAGAGUCAGCUCCACUGAUGUAGAGACACAAACCAACGUCACAACAUGUGAAACAUCAGUGUCCACACAUCACAUUAAAUCCCAUUUGAAGCUUCUUAGCUGUAAUGCAACAAAUCCUUCUCGAGGCAGAAAUACUUACACUGUCAUAAACACAAUGCAUUCAAUGUCACAUGUCAUACAGUACAUGUCACUGAACAUAGUGUGGAAGAAGUCACAUUAGGUUUGGACUCAAACAGCACACCAAGAUCACCAGCACUGUCCUCUGCAUUGAGUGUCUGAGAGUCUAAGUUGCUCCAACUAUGAGAACUUUGGUCUUUUUGCUUUUCAGCUGCUGAAAUAUUUUGUGUUUACUUUCAAAACCUGAUAAUGAACAGAACAAUCAACCAUGUUUAUUGACUAGAUGAACACCAUGUUGCUCUUUGUUCACAGCAGAAGAGAAGCGAGGGCCUGCCUGAAGAUUCCUGCUAAACACAUUUAGCAGCAAAAAAAGCCUGCCAGCUAACGUACCAUAUAACAAAGGAGCAUUAAACCGUUAAGAGGCCAGUGUUGAUCAGUGGCUGUCCAGGCCUUUCACAACCACUGACACGCCGGCAGCACAAUGAUGAUGUCACUGAUUCUACUGCUGGCCACCCUGGGGCUCCUUGUUCAGGAUUCAUCAGGAGAAAUCAUCGUGAGUCAACCCCCUGUCUCUCGGACUGUCUCUGUCAGUUGUAACACCAGUGUAAAUGUGGGGGGUUACCUCAACUGGUACUUUCAAAAACCUGGAGAAGCUCCUAAACUCCUGAUUUACGGAGCUGCACACCGUCAGUCUGGAGUUUCAGAUCGUUUUAGUGGAAGUGGAUCUGGAGCUGACUUCACUCUGACCAUCAGAGGAGUUCAGGCUGAAGAUUCAGGAGUUUACUACUGUCAGCAUGGCCAUUACGGGACCCCGUUCACACAGUGAAAAAGCAUCAUAUAAAAACCUCCCUCAGUCAGACUGAACAGAAACUGAAAUGACUGCUGCAGCUGGAAGCUACUGCAGAGACUGAUACACUUCACUGAGGACACACACACACACACACACACACACACA